UUGCUCUUUAACAAUUUGGAAAGCUGACUGAUUUAGCUUAAUUUAUCUUUACUUUUUAAAAGUAAAACAAAACAGCUCAGGCUGUAAUUAAGUUAAAUCAAAAUUUAAAAGUUCUUAAUAUCUUUUGUUUAUCUUUAGAUAAACAAAUUAAAAACACAUUCAAGUGUUCUUGUAUUUUGAAUCCGGCGAAAAACCAGAACUCUCAAUGAAGAGUUCAACCUUGGUUGCUGUUUUGUCUUCAUUUUUGAAAAGUGAAAGCAAACGUCCAUACGAAACCUCUUGGGGUUGUAU
rnacentral:misc_RNA from 1 species